rnacentral:misc_RNA from 1 species
AAGUCGUAACAAGGUUUCCGUAGGUGAACCUGCGGAAGGAUCAUUAUUAAUUCUUCUAGUUAAGCGGCUGCGCGUUUUUUUUUUAAAAGAACCGCAGCUGUUUUUCUUGUGAACUGGGGCCUGCUUUUGAAGUUUAAACGCUUUUCUGGCAGGCCUGUCGUUAAUGCUCUUGUGUUAAAUUUUUUUGUUUUUGCUUUUUUUAAGCCUAACCGCUUAAGAAAAAUAAUUACAAGACAACUUUCAGCAAUGGAUCUCUUGGCUCUU